GUGUGUCCACAGUUUUGACUUGGAGUGUAUAUGUCUGACUACUCUUUCUGGACUUUAAUUUUGCGUUUAAUACCAUCAUUCCACAGACACUAGCCACUUUUAUUGUUGGGACUCAGACAACUGGUGCUGGAAUUCUUGACAGACAAGCGUGAGUCUGUGAAAAUUUCCAGUGUCUUGUCCUCCAUCAUCAUCCUCAAUAUUAGCUCACUGCAUGGAUGUGUAUUGAGCACACCAUACACACCACUCAAAAAAUAUUCACAAAUGUUUAGAUUGAGAUUUUCAUAAAUAUAUUUAUGUAUUAUUCAAAUUUCAACCUCUUGAAUUAGUGAAUACAACUGCUCAGUUCAUCAGUACAUCAGCCAGAGACUUAGUCAGUACCUUUGUGUUGAAUUAAAUAACUUAAUGAUUAGAUAACCCAUUAAACAUUCAUAUAUUUCAUGAAUUAUGUCAUAAUUAUAAGAUAAUGACCACAUUAAAAAUGACCAUAAUAUGUUAUGCUAAAUUUAUGGAAAAAAGACCAUUAUAAACAAUAUAAUUAUAUUUCUUAAAUUGUAAUUGUUUGAUGAAGAUUUCAUGACAGAACUGUACCAUUCAAGUUUAUAAAAACCAAGUAGCCACAACCGCUUUAUUUCCCCAUAAAUGUCACAGUUUGCACAGUUACAAAUCCUUUAUUGACAUAAAUCACCAAGAAUUUUUAUUACCUAAAUUAAUAUAUGUUAAUAUGUAAUGGUAUACACUGUAGCAGUAUUUUUCUAAUCAGAAAAACUCUUCUAAGUAAAGGAGUAAAUAAAACAUCAACAAGCACACACACACACACACACUCACACAAUGUACUGUUUGUGUUUAUGUGUUUAAUAUUCUUGUGUAUGUGAUCAAAACAUUUUUGUUUUGUUUUGAUCACAUUAGCUAAUAUGAUCAAAAUAAUAUUACUGUCAGCAGAGAAUCCAUGAGGUGGGAGCACAACUUGCCAGUAGACCUGUUCAUGUCUGUGACUGGUUACAUGCUGCCAACACCAGAUCAUACAUGUGGAAGCACUAGCUAGAUUUGGAAACCUCAGGUGUAGUUUCAGAACAGAACGGAUCAUACACUAUGCAGGUCUGCCUUUUUCUGAUCUCUUUGAUAAGGAAGUUAAACACAGCCUAAACAACUGCAACACUGGAACUUAAAUAACUGCAAAAAACUGACAAGUUGUGCUGCUUACCCAAGGAUCCAGGUUUCACUACUGCAGUCAUUAUAGCAUCAAGACCGAAGAGCUCAACUGUGCUCUUGCUUAGGCCUCACACCAGGAGUAAAGCUUUUCACUUCAUAAUACCACUCAGAGACCAUUAUAGGACAAGAUGUUAUGCAACUAAGAAGUAUUCAAUUAGAGAAAGUCACAAAAACAACUCAGAUUAUGUCCUUUCACAAAUACAUGAUAUACGUUACAUAGGUCAGCAAAUGAAAACAGAAACACAAGUUCAAUUUAUUGUUUCUCUUACAAUUUUCUGAAGCUCAUCAUUUACUCCUUUCAUGUAUCUUUUCCGAGUUCUCUAUUCUUGCAGCAAAUCCAGCUUCUUGUCUAUGUAAGCUCUGGUUUUUUUGAUCAUGUAAAAUGCAAUGUCAAUUAUUUCCUGCAGUGGUGGAGAAUCAUAUGAUAAUAACAUUGCUUCUUCCAAUUGAGGAACAAAUUCUUUCAUUUUUUCAUUGAAUUGUUUUGAGGUGAUUCUCAUUUUGUACUUGGAUUCUUCCUAAAGGAGAAAAAUAAAACUUUUCACAUAUAGCAUUUCUACUCAUAUUAUGGAAUUUAUGAGAAUAAACUGGAGACUGACUGACCCACCUUCAGUCUCUCUUCCUCUUCUAUCGCUGUUUGAAGGGUUUUC
ensembl:lncRNA